AGGAGAAUAGUUACCCGCUGGUCUUAG
rnacentral:tRNA from 1 species